rnacentral:lncRNA from 10 species
UUCUUUCAACAUCAAAACCAUGGGUACGAGUGGGCGAGGAAUUUUUUUUUUUUAAGGCAGGGACAGCCUGGUUCUGACCGUGCAAAGCUGUGGCUUUGCCUCCUAUGGGCGCCUUGUGAGCAGCAGAUCCGACUUCCUCCUCAAACCAAGUUAUCCUGAAAACACCCAAGCAGAGGAAGCAUUUUUUCACCAUGACAUGGGAAAGGGCCACAGGGAUCCAAAUGGAAACGGACAUUUCAUGACCACUGAAGCACAACCACACUUUGGAGCCAGAAGAGGAGCUGAAAUGUCAAUUGGAGAGGACUUUCCUGCUCUAAAAGGUGAGGAAGACAGCACAAGUAACUUGCCAAAGAUAAGUGGCUAAUAAGUGGCAGAGCGAGGGUUUAAAGCAGGCAUGAAGGUGCUGCAGCCCAUGCACUUAGCCCCAACAUCAUGCUGCUCUCUGACUCACCAGCUAACCAAGUAAAUAAACGACAGUGAUGAGGUAAAUAAACAGGAUGAGGUAAAUAAAGAGGCUUACACAGUGCUCUAAAAGGAUGCUUUGAAGGAAGGGAAGAUCCCAACGAACCAGCCAUGAGAAGAACCCUUUACAGAGGGAAUAACAAGUGGCAAAGCUUCCCAAGUGAGGGUGGGGAAGAACCUGAUGGGUUUUGGAACUCAAAGUUUCUUCCUCUAACGUUCACCAAUUUAAUCUUUCCCUACAUAGAGUAAAUUGAGUUCCCCUGCUAUUAACAUUUGUUUUGUG